CACGUUAUUAACAUAACACCCGUCGACCAAAAGAUGCCCAUCAAGGGGAUCGCAAAUCGGAGGGAAGACCCCCGCGAUAGUCAUGCUGCCGCUAACGCGCGCAAAUAAAUCCUCAACGUUCUGCCAAAGUAAAUAUGAAGUGACACAAGGUCCCCGACUGAAUUUAGAGCAGCCAAAAUAGCCGAAUUUCGAAGAGCUAAGAAGUUUUCACAUUAGCCGUCAAAGUCAGCGCUGCGCUCGUCAAUUGCGAUUCAAGUUACCUGGAAGGUUAUUGACGUACCCGCCGUCGAGCAGGA